AUUUCAGCACAAUCUGCCUGUUGAAUGGCUGGAAAAAGGGAAUGAAGAUUCCUCUGGAGAUCAGCAAUCCCUUUGAAUCUACAAAAGACAGUGCCUUUGCCCCACCCAAAUUAAAACUUCAGUUUCCCACUCAACCAUGCUCCAGGACACAGAUUGCCAGGUUUGCCUUACACCUCUCUACAAGGCUGGUGCAAACAGUUCUUUUGCAGAAAGUGUCCUGUGGCUGAAGACUGUGUCUCCAGUGGUGGGAAAGCAUGGCAGAUGGAAGAUUCAUCCACCAUCAUUGUUUUGUUAUCCUGGGCUUGGAGCGUACCUUGGAAGAUCGAAAAAAAAUGUCUUGAAACAUAACUCCAGUGUUUGGGCUAUAUAAACAGUGGCAAGACCAAUUAUCUCAAUGUCAUUCAGGUGGAGACAUGCAAAUC